CCGAUGGUUCCAGAAUUUGCCUUGUGACUCCAUCACAAAUAAACAAAAAUUAUUAACCCCAGGAUACAACCCUGGGCUAUGCUCACUAUGCUCACAGAGAGAAUUAAAAAACUCUCCCACUCACACAAUCCCAACCCUUUCCAACGGUACCACUCACCAGCCAGCAGUCUUUGAACAGCGGUUUGAGCGCCGGCAAAAGAUCUCAGCCGAAGCAGCAAUCCAGAGGCAUGGCCAGGGGGCGGUGGUACUCAAGAGAGCGAUAAAUGUCUAAAUACGAGCAAUUCGGAUUUGCUCGUAUUCAUAAGGGAAUUUUCAGGUCGAUCUCGGCAUGCUAGCACUCGCCAGUUCAAUUUCGCUACGAACGUACAGCGAGCAGUAAGUGCGCGCCGGAUUAACGUUCGAAAAGAUACUAUUACAGCAGUAAACUAAACGUCAAAAUUAGUGUUGUUAGUAGUGUUAAAAGUUAUAAAAAGUGGUUAGUAGUGUUAAAACGAAAUCUAAAUGUAAAAAUGCUUUAAAGUCUAUUGUCUUAGUCUAGGGUAGUUGCACCGAGUAUAGUGCAACAAACAUAUACAAGCACAGAACAAAUUAAAAUCAAGCAGGAAAAAGGUAAAUACUUGCACAAAUAGUGUUUAUUAGUAAAAACAAGCUAAAACAGACUCCCUAAUACGACUAAAAUGCGGUUUUAAGAUAAAAGUGAGAACACGUUGUGGAAGACUAAUGGCCGUGGUAGGUCCACAAAGGGCCUUUUUCUUUUAUAUUAUUUGCCAGCUUUGUGGAAGGACGCCAUCUUUAUUCCUCCAAUAAGCCACAAAGGAGUAUCGGUGAUCCUUUCAUUCACCAAGGAAGCCAUCUUGUCGCUGAUUGGCAUACCAAGGAUCCUCGGAGACUGAGCGUCGGACGUCGAUUGAUCGCUGGACGUACUCCGGCAAAUCCGUGGACCAUAUAACGACUGACAAGUUACACCAUCGGUCGGGUUUGAGAAAGGUCACGAGGACUAGGACCCACUGACGUCAUCUGUUGUCCCGGUGGUCACCAGGCGUUGCCCGCCGUCCCGGAUUUCCACUCGAUCAGCUCCAUCGCUCUGACAGCUCGUCAGUCACCACCACGAUCCCAAGCCACAAUCCGACAGCCCGCAGUGUACCAACCAGAGUCAAAAACCGCAAGUAGUAGACAUAGAAUGUGACGUCACAAUAGCAUUAGAUAAUAAGCCAUGGCCAAUUCACAACCAAACAAUUGUAAAUAUUUGUAAUAUAAGAUGUGCACGUAA